GGCCCCGUCGUCUAGCGGCCUAGGACAUUGGGCUUUCAUCCCAAAAAUCACGGGUUCGAAUCCCGUCGGGGUCA
rfam:Candidatus Roizmanbacteria bacterium RIFCSPLOWO2_01_FTLL_42_14 rifcsplowo2_01_scaffold_49836, whole genome shotgun sequence.